rnacentral:rRNA from 1 species
CCUACGGGUGGCAGCAGUGAGGAAUAUUGGUCAAUGGGCGCAAGCCUGAACCAGCCAAGUCGCGUGAGGGAUGACGGUCCUAUGGAUGGUAAACAUCUUUUGUAGGGGAGCAAGGCCUGCCACGUGUGGCGGGAAGGAGAGUACCCGAAGAAAAAGCAACGGCUAACUCCGUGCCAGCAGCCGCGGUAAUAAGGAGGAUGCGAGCGUUAGCCGGAUGUAUUGGGUUAAAAGGAUGCGUAGGCGGAAGGUGAGGUCAGCGGUAAAAUGUCGGUGCUCAACACCGGCCUGCCGUUGAAACUGGUCUUCUUGAGUGAGCGAGAGGUAUGCGGAAUUCGAGGUGUAGCGGUGAAAUGCGUAGAUAUCUCGCAGAACUCCGAUUGCGAAGGCAGCAUACCGGCGCUCAACUGACGCUGAGGCACGAAAGCGUGGGGAUCGAACAGGAUUAGAUACCCGAGUAGUC